UCUUUUCUAGAUUAUGGUGUUCAGUUCAUGCUCCCACAAAGGUCAGUGUUGAAGCAUCGAUCUUUAGCAAGAUUUGCAACCAUACCUAAACAAAUUUAUGAAUAAGAUGUAUUAUAAGGGAGGCAUGGUCGCCUGAGAUUGUAGCUGCAACUCAUGAAUGCAAACAAGGUUUGAUUGCUGGACGUGGUGCACUGGAUCCGGCAGGCGGUGGUGCUCUGGGGCGUCGCCCCCCUCGUCAGCGCCUUCUCGAUCGUCCUGUACACUCACAAUUAUUGUACAGAUUGAUGCUACGGCUAUACUACAGCGCAGGUGGGCAGGGGCACCUUCGGCGGCGUAGAUGGGCCUUGCUCGCGCGACGGUUGAUGAGGUUGAGUGCCGUUGGUGGCUGGGGCCUAGGGUUGGUUGCUGCCGCGAGCGACGGGGGACGGAUGAAGAAGGAAAGGGGGUAAUUAGCGUAAGGUUUACAAAGGACUUUUUUUGUAAAAAUGCCAAUGAACUAUGCUAGCGACAUUAUUUUUCGGACGGAUGGAGUACUACUUUGCUUGCAAAACUAGGAGAUGACUAUUCAUAUCUUAUUUUGAUCAGAUAUUGUUGUGUAAAUUGAUAGUUGUGAUGCCCUGCAAGUGAGGUUCCUUGCCCAUUAAGUAAUUUACUCUUUGGCUGCAUGUUUGGGUGUGUAGGGUUCUCACUGUUUGAACAACUUUCAAUAUUCUAAUUCAGCCACGAGUACAGGUUUAAGAGUCAGCCUUUUAUAUGAAAAGGAAAAACACCUUUUGGUUUAACAAAAACUUGUAUAUAUUUAGUUAGAGGCUUACUACAUUCUAGGAAGAGCUGGGCUGAUUAUGCACUAUUGUCAUUUACUUCGUAUAUGUUAGAUUUUCUUACGCAUUACCCUUAUUUUAACUAAUGAGCUUAUCCUGGCUGCCUGCCUGGCUGGUAAAGUUUCCAAACAGUA